AGAGUUGAUCUGGCUCAGGAUGAACGCUAGCGACAGGCUUAACACAUGCAAGUCGAGGGGCAUCACGGGAGUAGCAAUACAACUGGUGGCGACCGGCGCACGGGUGAGUAACGCGUAUGCAACCUACCUAUCAGAGGGGAAUAACCCGGCGAAAGUCGGACUAAUACCGCAUAAAACAGGGGCACCGCAUGGUGAUAUUUGUUAAAGAAAUUCGCUGAUAGAUGGGCAUGCGUUCCAUUAGGUAGUUGGUGAGGUAACGGCUCACCAAGCCGACGAUGGAUAGGGGAACUGAGAGGUUGGUCCCCCACACUGGUACUGAGACACGGACCAGACUCCUACGGGAGGCAGCAGUGAGGAAUAUUGGUCAAUGGGCGGGAGCCUGAACCAGCCAAGUCGCCGUGAAGGAAGAAGGAUCUAUGGUUCGUAAACUUCUUUUGCAGGGGAGUAAAGUGCAGGACGUGUCCUGUUUUGUAUGUACCCUGAGAAUAAGGAUCGGCUAACUCCGUGCCAGCCGCCGC
rnacentral:rRNA from 1 species